UACGUAGGGGGCUAGCGUUGUCCGGAAUCAUUGGGCGUAAAGCGCGUGUAAGCGGUCCGGUAAGUCCGCUGUGAAAGUCGGGGGCUCAACCCUCGAAUGCCGGUGGAUACUGUCGGGCUAGAGUGCGGAAGAGGCGAGUGGAAUUCCUGGUGUAGCGGUGAAAUGCGCAGAUAUCAGGAGGAACACCAAUUGCGAAGGCAGCUCGCUGGGACGUUACUGACGCUGAGACGCGAAAGCGUGGGGAGCAAACAGG
rnacentral:rRNA from 1 species